rnacentral:rRNA from 1 species
AGUGCUUGCACUAAAUGAAACUAGAUACAAGCGAGCGGCGGACGGGUGAGUAACACGUGGGUAACCUGCCCAAGAGACUGGGAUAACACCUGGAAACAGAUGCUAAUACCGGAUAACAACACUAGACGCAUGUCUAGAGUUUGAAAGAUGGUUCUGCUAUCACUCUUGGAUGGACCUGCGGUGCAUUAGCUAGUUGGUAAGGUAACGGCUUACCAAGGCAAUGAUGCAUAGCCGAGUUGAGAGACUGAUCGGCCACAUUGGGACUGAGACACGGCCCAAACUCCUACGGGAGGCAGCAGUAGGGAAUCUUCCACAAUGGACGAAAGUCUGAUGGAGCAACGCCGCGUGAGUGAAGAAGGGUUUCGGCUCGUAAAGCUCUGUUGGUAGUGAAGAAAGAUAGAGGUAGUAACUGGCCUUUAUUUGACGGUAAUUACUUAGAAAGUCACGGCUAACUACGUGCCAGCAGCCGCGGUAAUACGUAGGUGGCAAGCGUUGUCCGGAUUUAUUGGGCGUAAAGCGAGUGCAGGCGGUUCAAUAAGUCUGAUGUGAAAGCCUUCGGCUCAACCGGAGAAUUGCAUCAGAAACUGUUGAACUUGAGUGCAGAAGAGGAGAGUGGAACUCCAUGUGUAGCGGUGGAAUGCGUAGAUAUAUGGAAGAACACCAGUGGCGAAGGCGGCUCUCUGGUCUGCAACUGACGCUGAGGCUCGAAAGCAUGGGUAGCGAACAGGAUUAGAUACCCUGGUAGUCCAUGCCGUAAACGAUGAGUGCUAAGUGUUGGGAGGUUUCCGCCUCUCAAUGCUGCAACUAACGCAUU